UGACCUUCAGAAGGAAAUUCCUGUCUGGGCUCUGUCUUGAGGCAGGGCUCAGUUGCUCUUUGCUCUGAGCCUCAGUUACUCCAUCUGAGCAAGAGGACUGAUGUUCAAUGUGGCUGAUGUCACAAUUAACCGAUGCAACAUUCCUAGAAGCCCCCUGGCUCUGAGGGAAGGAUCAAUAACAGAUGAAGAAAUGGAGACUUCAUCCACUUGCCUAAGCCCCUGAGGUAACCUUGGCCAAGAUCCUGUCUUCCAGGGCCCCUGCAGAUCCCAGCAUGAAGCCCCCAAAUGUGCCUGCCUGUCUUUAGGCUCCUGCCAACUACUGCUGCCUUCCUCCUGCCCGCCGCCAGCCGAGUGGUGAGACUUGCAAGCUAUUUUAUUCCAGACUUCCCCAUCUUCUUCACAUAACUUCCUGAGCCUGCAAUGCCUCCCCACUUCCUUCUUCGUCCAGCUGGGCUAUUUAGUCACCAAGGCCUUGGUUAUGCCUGCUUGCACUUACAGGAAGACUUCUCCCAACCCCCACCCCUGUCCCCUACCCCUGUCCCAUGCCUGUGGGCCCCACUGAGAAAUGUUUCUCAGCACUUCCAAAGGGGUUCUGGGUGCUCUAGUGGAAGGGUGAGCGGGUGGGG